CCUACGGGUGGCAGCAGUGGGGAAUAUUGGGCAAUGGGCGCAAGCCUGACCCAGCAACGCCGCGUGAAGGAAGAAGGCUUUCGGGUUGUAAACUUCUUUUCUCAGGGACGAAGCAAGUGACGGUACCUGAGGAAUAAGCCACGGCUAACUACGUGCCAGCAGCCGCGGUAAUACGUAGGUGGCAAGCGUUAUGCGGAUUUAUUGGGUGUAAAGGGUGCGUAGGCGGAUCGUUAAGUCAGGGGUAAAAUUGAGGGGCGCAACCCCUCCCCGCCAUUGAAACUGGCGUUCUUGAGUGGAAGAGAAGUAUGCGGAAGGCGUGGUGGAGCGGUGAAAUGCAUAGAUAGCACGCAGAACCCCGAUUGCGAAGGCAGCAUGCCGGCUUCCGACUGACGCUGAAGCACGAAAGCGUGGGGAUCGAACAGGAUUAGAUACCCGUGUAGUC
rnacentral:rRNA from 1 species